GCCGCUUCUCAGCCUUCUGGCUAAGAUCAAGUCCAGUACCUGUUCUUACCAGUUUAAUAUCCGAUACGUCCUCGAUGAUUCUGUGAUUGUGUGCACUGCAGGAGCAGCGCUGAAGUGCAGAGGUCAGGACAACCUGUCAGUGCUAUCAGGCCAUCCUGC
rnacentral:snRNA from 1 species